UUGACUGUCCUUGUGGAGGGUAAUAGCAGUAGAAAAAGUCCUUUACACUAGAUUUAAAUUUUGGUUACAUAAAUCCUGUUUAAUCUCUGAGUACAGGAGGCAUUAUGACACAAAGGUUCUGAAUCAAGAUGAGGCCCAUUGAUUUGGCUGCAUGGGGAAAAGUGGCUAUUCAUUAUGGAUGAACAGAAGACUUCAUUCCUCAACUGUGUUAUCAGUUUGCACAAUGGAAAGGUCCUGUGGAAGACAAAGGAACUUGUUCAUUUCCAGGUACACAAACAACUCAGUAGAGGCCUGUGUCAAAAUGAGACUAAUUGGGCGCAUCUACAUGUGUGCCUGACUGCACUGUAAAUCCCGUUACUGUGCAGUCCUGGCAGCACAUGGGUCAUUUCUGGCUUGUUGCUACUGCACAGUAGCAUUGGUAUCAUGGUUCAUGCCCACUAAUGCUAGACCACUGUAGCUCAUUGCUAUAGCAAUGUAGCAUCUGGUGUAGAUGCACCUACUGAGAUGCAAGGGUACUACAAGAAAGAAGUAGAAUAUGUCAAGGAGGAGAUGGCAGAGAUCAUAUGGAAGAAGAAAGACUGGCAUAGAUUGUUUAUGGGUAGGACCCCUGAACAGACCAGUGACGAGGACAAUGAUGACAACGGCAGUGGGUCCAUCAAGAGAGAAGAUGAUGAUGAUGAUGACAGUGACAAUGGAAAGGACUGGGUUUGUAUCAUUGUGACAAGCAAGGGUGCUGGUGACGGGCAUGCAGGUAUGUGGACAUGCAGGAAUGUGGAUGCCCAGGUGUGCAGGUGCUUGGUGGAGCUAUUCUAAUGGGCAUGUGACUGGUGUAAUUGUAAUGUGCCACAAGUGUCAUGGGCAGAUCAGAGAGGGGGAAGGCAGUACAGUGGCAGAUAGUACAGGAAUCAGGAGGCAGAACAGCAGAUCAGGCAAGUAGUGCAGGGCAGGAAUCGGGAAGAACAGGAGAUUGGUCAAGGAACACAGAUUAGGGAGCAGAAAAUAAAGCAGCAGGUCAGGCAGAGGAAGGGGAUUACAGUAGCACUUGGGGAGAAUGUGGGGUUAAUUUGUGGCAUGCCUGCCAAAAUGGUUUCCCCCCCCCCCCCCAUCCCCCAAACUACAAAGUUAAUCAUAUAAUAUUUAACACUAAUGAAGUAUCAUCUUUAAGAUGUUAUGCUCACCUCUAAAAUGAUCCCUAACACUGUGUCAACUGAGAUGAAUGCUUUUGCUUAGGGAACUGGCUGUUUUCCUACUUGAGUCAACAUGCACUGCUCGCAGCUCUGGCUAAAAUGAACUACAGUUAAGGCUGCAUGCUAGAAUAGGAGAGACUUCCUGUGAUACUUUGUAACAAGUACUUUGUGAUACUUUGUUUCAUAUUUGUAACAAUAAAAUAUGUUUAUGUUAGACUUGAUAAAGAAGAAAAACAAAUGAGUUAGGAAAUAGGCGUUCCUUCAUACAUUUUGGAAAGGAAAUGCAGCCUAAUUAGGCUGCACUUGCAUGAAUAACCUUUACUUUCAUGCAUAGCUUGUUGGUCCUGAAUUCAAUGGAACUGAAUCUUGACGUACAUGUGAAAAUGUGGUCAAAUCAGUUGCUUUUAACCAAAAAAUAAAUAAAUAAAUAAAUACAUUUUAUUUCUAGAAUAAAAUUCUCUCUCUUCAUAAAAACUGUGAAAGAGCCUUGAGCCAGAACUUUCAAAAAAAUAUAGGCUGUCCAGAUUCAAGGCUUGGGUUCAGACCAAUUUUAAUAAUGACAUUUUAUGAACAUUUCAUAACGUGAGCAGAAAUGCUCAGGAGGUAUUGUCUUGAAUUAAGAGUUGGACUGUAUCUGUUAGAGAAUGAGGGAGCGGGAGAGGGAUCAGAGGAAGAGUUAGAAUGAGUGGGAGGGAGAGCGAAAAUGGAGGAAUUUUUCAGCUAUCACCAUUUUCUGCUUUGCGAUCAAACUUUCACAAAUGAGCCAAAUACUUAUGAAUCUUCCCUGAAUAGUCUUAGCCAAGAUGUAAUUUAAUCCAUAUGUUUCAUUCAAGCGACAUAUUAAUUAUUGAUUAGGCUUAAUGAAUAUGCUAAUAUGCAGAAAUCAAGUGGCUUCUGCUGCCCUGCUGUGCUUUCCAGGCCCUCAUAAAUUUUUUGAAGAGGUGUCUGUAGGAGACAGCUUCUGGACUGGUGCCAAAAGUCCAUAAUGAAGACCACAUACAGAGUUCAAGGGCUGGUGUCUGCCCUUCCAGAAUAACAUCAAAAGCGUGUUUUUGUCUGACACUUGUUCCAAAAUGUUAAAUUAAAUUAUUAACUUUUUCCCUUUGUAACUAGAGGAAAGUUAUUGCUACUUUUCCAUUCCCCUAGGGACCUUGAAUAUAAAAUUUGACCUGAUUUUUUCCACUUCAAAUGGAGGGAAAAAUCAGAACAGGUGCAGGUCAAUGGUUUAGUCAAUAGCAUAUUAAAGCUUAAAUGUUCUCUCUGUCUGCAUUUGUAAUCAGCUUACAAAAACUGUCAGGGCUUUCUAUCUCCUCACUGUUUUUAAUGCCCAAAUGAAUUCACAAUGAUGCACAGUGAAACAAACAAAAAAAAAAAAAACGGGUAAAGUUUCUGUCUGUUUAUUGUGCCCUUUUAAACACAGCUGCUGAUCAGUAAGCAGCUCUAAACUAGAAGGAAUAUUGGGACAUAUAAAGUCUAAUGCAGGCAUACUUUUCUUCUUGAUUCCCCUUUGAUUUGAAGAUGGAGAAGAACUUCGUUUCUUGGCAGCAACAAAUUUCUUGGUGCCAUCUCAGCUGGCCAUAAGGACUCCCCUGAUUAUUUUGCCCACUGCUUUUUUCCUGCAUGCCUGCUUACUUUCUCUGGUAGGUCCACAGCUUACUCCCUUAUAGUUGUACACAUGCUUAUGUAGUAGCCUACACAAGAAUAAAGAUGCAUUUUUACAUGUUCUGAGGAUGAGCACAUUAGUGAAAAUGCAAGUAAAUGAUGAGGCAUCCCAAGCAAAUAAAACUGUCAUUAGAGGCCUUAGCAUACCUAUCAAACAAACUUUUUUUUUUUCUUUGCAAAUACUUGUGAGACUACCGAUUGUUCAGUCAGGAAUGUUUCAUGAAUUACUCCAAAAUGAGGUUUGUAAUAACAAAUUUUCAUGUAUCAGAACAUAGCUUUUCAGCAUUUUU